UACGAAGGGGGCUAGCGUUGCUCGGAAUCACUGGGCGUAAAGCGCACGUAGGCGGAUCUUUAAGUCAGGGGUGAAAUCCUGGAGCUCAACUCCAGAACUGCCUUUGAUACUGGGGAUCUCGAGUCCGGGAGAGGUGAGUGGAACUCCGAGUGUAGAGGUGAAAUUCGUAGAUAUUCGGAAGAACACCAGUGGCGAAGGCGGCUAUCUGGACGGUUUCUGACGCUAAGACGCGAAAGCGUGGGGAGCAAACAGG
rnacentral:rRNA from 1 species